UGGAACACAUACGUAAACAAGAUGGCCGCUGUGCUCCAUCGCGGAAGUAGAUGCGAGCGUCUUUGUCACAUACACAUGAACGCACAGGCGACAGUGCGCAGGAAUACGGCGGGAGACAAAUAUAUAACGCCAAGUGUUUUGUGAGCAACUGAGUGGAACUGCGUUCUUCAUCACAGAAAUCUGACCAGAACUGGACUUAGGAGACCAAGUGGGGGGGGUCUCAGCUGAGAGGUUCUCCUGCCAUACUGAGUCAGCCCAACGAGACAAAGACGAUCUCUGUUCUGGGGCAGACAUCUUCUCAAGGCCUUGUGGUAAAGAUCCGGUGUCCAGCAAUGGAGCAGGGUCAGUCGGGUCAGGCAGACAGGACCUGCUCGAAGCAUCCGAACUCAACGAGGCCUGUAUGUGCGUAUGUAGACUGCGUUCACUACUAAGAAAGCAGUGGGUGAGGACGUACUGCUCUUGGAUGUAGGAGCUUUCCUGGAUUCUUGUCCUAAUAUCACUGGACCGGUCUAGCUCCACACCUAUAGUAGGUAUAAGUGUUAACCACUCUAGACAGUUCCACUAGGAAUUUACGAGUUAUUAUUACCAACCUGUGGGGUCAGCAUCUUUGGCACAGGAGAACUCAGAGGAGAUUUCCCGGGAUAUCUCCUUCAGCGCCUCCUCUAAGUCAUUACCUUCUGAACAAGCAGCUGCAGGCAUGAGCUCCGAAGUAGGAGGUGAGAUGUCAUCAUUUGACUGGCAAAAUACGGAACCCAUGGAGGCAUUAUGUGUACUUUUAUAGCUCCGCCCUUGGCACUGAAACAUAUAGCAGUUGGUAGAAAUAAACAUUCCAAUACAGUUGUUCCUCGCUACAUCGCUGUUUGAACAUCGCGCCCUCGCUCUAUCGAGUUUUUCCACAAAUUAAUCAAUUAAUCAAUGGUUGCUGCUUUGUGGUUGACUAUGGCCUAUUAUUAGUCAUGUACAGCUCUGGCCACCAGGGGUCAGUAAUUUCACAUUGACAAGACAUUACCGUAACACUGCAUGGAGUCAAUCUCUGUGGAGUUUGCAUGUUCUCCCCGUGCGUCUGUGGAGUUAUAUUUGUGCCUUAAUUUUGAGGUAGUUAAGGCAGAUUUUGAGCCACAUUAAUGUCCAAUAAUUACAGUUGUGUCAGCAGGCACAUCGCUGUGCUCUGUCACUCUCUCGCUCUCUGUAACUCUACCUCUCCACACUUAAUAGCUGCGGAGCGAGGCGAGCCGGUGUACGUGUGCUGGUUUUGGCGACUGGUCUCCUGGCUGGAGCUUGCGGCUUGCCUGCCUGGAGAGCGGCAAGGUUCAGUUGUCAAAUGCAUGCCCGUUGGUCACUUUCUGGGAGGGGAGGGCACUGAUGUAAUAAAAAAAAGUCUAAUAUUGUCGCAAUCGACCAGCAAAGUCCCAAAGAUUGGUUGGUGGCUCGCGAUUGACGGGUUGGUGACCCCUGGUGUAAACAAAGAAUAAUAGGAGUGUAAAGGUGACUAUAGGGGUGUUAUUUCAUGUCAACAAGGCUAUACUGUAUAUAGCUAAUAAUGGUGAAAAACGUAUUUAGAAAGUCAUAAACAGGUUUUCUAUACUCUAAUUACGACAAUAUUCUGUUUAUUUAUACUGAAUCCUACUUUGUAGUUCACUUAUUCACUUAUCGUGGUCGGUCCGGAACCAAUUAACAGCAAUAAAGGAGAGACGACUAUAAACAGAAACUGCAAUUUCCUGAAUUGUGUUUCAGCAUUCACACAAUAAAAGUGUCUGGUGUACCUCUGUCUUUUUUGCUUUAAAUGUUGUCAUGUCAUACAGCGUGCA